AUUGAACGCUGGCGGCAUGCCUUACACAUGCAAGUCGAACGGCAGCACGGACUUCGGUCUGGUGGCGAGUGGCGAACGGGUGAGUAAUGUAUCGGAACGUACCUUUCAGUGGGGGGAUAACGUAGCGAAAGUUACGCUAAUACCGCAUAUUCUGUGAGCAGGAAAGCAGGGGAUCGCAAGACCUUGCGCUGAUUGAGCGGCCGAUAUCAGAUUAGCUAGUUGGUGAGGUAAAGGCUCACCAAGGCGACGAUCUGUAGCGGGUCUGAGAGGAUGAUCCGCCACACUGGAACUGAGACACGGUCCAGACUCCUACGGGAGGCAGCAGUGGGGAAUUUGGACAAUGGGGGCAACCUGAUCCAGCCAUGCCGCGUGAGUGAAGAA
rnacentral:rRNA from 1 species